rnacentral:rRNA from 1 species
AGUGAACGCUGGCGGUAGGCCUAACACAUGCAAGUCGAACGGCAGCACAGUAAGAGCUUGCUCUUACGGGUGGCGAGUGGCGGACGGGUGAGGAAUACAUCGGAAUCUACUUUUUCGUGGGGGAUAACGUAGGGAAACUUACGCUAAUACCGCAUACGACCUACGGGUGAAAGCAGGGGAUCUUCGGACCUUGCGCGAUUGAAUGAGCCGAUGUCGGAUUAGCUAGUUGGCGGGGUAAAGGCCCACCAAGGCGACGAUCCGUAGCUGGUCUGAGAGGGUGGUCGGCGACGCGGGAGGGGGGGCGGGGGCGGGGGGCCUGGGGGAGGCGGCAGUGGGGGAUGUGGGGCAGGGGGGGCGAGCCUGAGGCAGCGGGGGCGGGUGGGGGGAGGGGGCGGGGGGGGGGGGAGGCCGGGGGGGGGGGAGGGAGGAGCGGGGGGUUGAGAGCCCGCUGUUCUGACGGUACCCAAAGAAUAAGCACCGGCUAACUUCGUG